rnacentral:rRNA from 1 species
AACGAACGCUGGCGGCAGGCUUAACACAUGCAAGUCGAGCGCCCCGCAAGGGGAGCGGCAGACGGGUGAGUAACGCGUGGGAACGUACCCUUUGCUACGGAAUAGCUCCGGGAAACUGGAAUUAAUACCGUAUGCGCCCUACGGGGGAAAGAUUUAUCGGCAAAGGAUCGGCCCGCGUUGGAUUAGCUAGUUGGUGGGGUAAUGGCCUACCAAGGCGACGAUCCAUAGCUGGUCUGAGAGGAUGAUCAGCCACAUUGGGACUGAGACACGGCCCAAACUCCUACGGGAGGCAGCAGUGGGGAAUAUUGGACAAUGGGCGCAAGCCUGAUCCAGCCAUGCCGCGUGAGUGAUGAAGGCCUUAGGGUUGUAAAGCUCUUUCACCGGAGAAGAUAAUGACGGUAUCCGGAGAAGAAGCCCCGGCUAACUUCGUGCCAGCCGCCGCGGUAAGAC